GAUGAACGCUGGCGGCGUGCCUAAUACAUGCAAGUCGAGCGAAUGGAUUGAGAGCUUGCUCUUAUGAAGUUAGCGGCGGACGGGUGAGUAACACGUGGGUAACCUGCCCAUAAGACUGGGAUAACUCCGGGAAACCGGGGCUAAUACCGGAUAACAUUUUGAACCGCAUGGUUCGAAAUUGAAAGGCGGCUUCGGCUGUCACUUAUGGAUGGACCCGCGUCGCAUUAGCUAGUUGGUGAGGUAACGGCUCACCAAGGCAACGAUGCGUAGCCGACCAGGGAGGGUGAUGGGCCAACCUGGGACUGAGAAACGGCCCCGACUCCGACGGGAGGCAGAAGUAGGGAAUCUGCCGCAAUGGACGAAAGUCUGACGGAGCAACGCCGCGUGAGUGAUGAAGGCUUUCGGGUCGUAAAACUCUGUUGUUAGGGAAGAACAAGUGCUAGUUGAAUAAGCUGGCACCUUGACGGUACCUAACCAGAAAGCCACGGCUAACUACGUGCCAGCAGCCGCAGUAA
rnacentral:rRNA from 1 species